GUAGGUGGCAAGCGUUGUCCGGAAUUAUUGGGCGUAAAGCGCGCGCAGGCGGUUCUUUAAGUCUGAUGUGAAAGCCCACGGCUCAACCGUGGAGGGUCAUUGGAAACUGGAGAACUUGAGUACAGAAGAGGAAAGCGGAAUUCCACGUGUAGCGGUGAAAUGCGUAGAGAUGUGGAGGAACACCAGUGGCGAAGGCGGCUUUCUGGUCUGUAACUGACGCUGAGGCGCGAAAGCGUGGGGAGCAAACAGGAUUGGAUACCCUGGUAGUCCACGCCGUAAACGAUGAGUGCUAAGUGUUAGGGGGGUUUCCGCCCCCCUUAGUGCUGCAGCUAACGCAUUAAGCACUCCGCCUGGGAGUACGGCCGCAAGGCUG
rnacentral:rRNA from 1 species